ACAAUUUUACAAGUGUAUUAAAAAAAGAAAAAAAAACACAUAAAUGAUAGACAGUGAAAAUAAACCAUGUAAAAGUAAACUGUACAAACAUUUCUUUAUUUCAAAAAGAGAUAAUUUUAAAACAUUUUUUUUUAAAGAAUAUUUCAUAUUUUUGCCCAAUUUAGCACUGAAGCUAAAAGUUUUGAAAUCAAGUUGAUUAUAUCUACUGGUUCAACAUUAUGCAAUAAAUAAACAAUUCAGUAAAUGUUGUCCUGUCUCGCUCGUGUAUGCAACAUGAGAUGUAAUUUUUUGGUGGCAACUCACUGUGUGUGGAAAAAUCAUAAAUUGACUCCUGUAGGUAUGUAAAAUUCAUAUAAAAACACAGCUAUAGACCAGAAUUUGCAAACAUAUGUUGAGUUAAUGAACUACUGUUAUCAUAAUUCGUUUAUCUAAUAAAAAAUGAACAGAAGAGGGGGCAUUUUUUUUUUUUAUUUAUUAAAAACUAUAAAUUCGGAAAUUGUUCUUUCCACAAGUUAAUGGCAAGAGUCAGCCAAAUAUCUGCCAAGGCAUAAGGCCAAUUAAAAUUAAUUGAUAGAUUUUCAUCGUUUUAUUCAAAGCUUCCUGUUUCAAAUUUCGGUUUUUGUACCUCGACUAAAUCUAACCACAAUAAUUAAGUCGACAUAUUCUGCUGCUCUAUCAUGACAACAUCAUCUUCCGAGAGUAAAGAUUGAUUACGAGAAUGACGUGAAAUAUUCGUGUUCAGGAAAUACUCUGUUUCCAAGACCGCAAAUCAUGGUAUGUCACAAAUUUCUGUGAAUAGAAAACUGCGGAUUUUUUUAUUUAUGCAAUGACUUUGUGACAGGAAAUUUAAAAAGAUAUUGAAACAUUAGCACAAACUUGUUAGAUUUAUGACCAUAUUUUGAAUUUAAAAAGUC
rnacentral:lncRNA from 1 species